UCUAAUUAUUCUAAUUAAAAACUACUCUGUUUGAUAUUUCCAUUAGGUAUAAUGAGUAUUACUGAAUCAUUCAAAAUAUCGUGAAAAGAAAAGUGAUUUAACACAUGACUUAGAAUCUCAAGUUCAAGUGAUGAAUUUAUGAGUUCUGCAGAUGCAAUUGCGAAACAAAACUUGCAAUAAUAAUACUGUUACAUGUGCAGGUUAGGAACGCAAACUCGCAUGUUGAAGAACCGUAGCCGUUAACCAGUAGAAAAUCAUAAUUUCGAAAGAGAUUAAUCCUCGACUGUUCUAUACCGUUUUAUACCGUCAAUUUGCCCGAGCUCAAUACUGCACGGUACUAAAAACUGGACGUUCGAACAAAACAUGAUCUCAAAGUAGUAUAAAAACCAUCAUCCAUUGACUUCUCCUUUCCGUAAACAGACUCGAACGAUUCGUUGAUCACGCAUUUCCGGUGUACGAGGGCUACAAUGAUACUUCGGAAAGAUUCUGCCCUCUUCUGUAAUAGUAGACUAUUAUCCCAGGUCUGUCUAGGACAAGAAAUAGCUGCAUGGAACAAUUGUUCGUCACCGUAAUAAAUCUUCAGCAACUAGACGUUUGAACAAAAGGAAUCGAAAAUUUUUAGAAUAUUCUAAGCUCCAAAUUUAGAUAGGAAAGAAAUCAUAUUGCACUGUUAAAUAUGUUUUCAGUAUCUUUGCAGCUGUAAACCUAACCUUAAACAUACACUUCAACACUUUCAUUUCUGUUUAGAGCUCAACUGUAGCAAAUCACACACACAAACAAACAUAGACAGAGAGAGGGAGAGAGAGAGAGAGGGAGAUAAUAGUUGAAUCACAUACACACAUAUGUAUAAUGGUAUGACUAAUCAAAAGCAAAGGAUACAUUUCAAAUGAAACACCAUUGUGACCUAUUCUGAACCUGGCUACUUAUGGCUCAGAUUCUUUAUCAAAGUAUAAUCAACAAAUGAAAUCAAAGAAUUAUUUCAGAUCAAAUGCACAACGCUUGUUAGAUCCAAGGAAAGAAACCAGUUCCCCAGGACGAAAAAUUCCUCGCGUGUCGUAAACUGGUGGCGACCGUGCUAAAUAUAAACGCGGGAAAAGGAGGAAAACGUAGGCCGGUCACCUCAUAGCGAAGUUCGGUGAUACACCACUGGAUAUUCGGCUUGCCCAGCUGUUUCACUAGACGACAGGUGUAGAGGUGGAGAGGAGUCGUUGAACAGUUUGAAUUGGCGAAUCAAAGAUCAACGUUGAGUUAGAUUUUAUUUCCUGGAAUAAUACUAACGUAUUUCUCACUUCGUUCCAGAUAUUUAGCUAAAAAUAAUAACGAGUGACUAUUGAAUUGUCGAAUUGAAAAAUUGUAGAAUUAAUGGACUGUUUUGUUUUUACUGUAUUUGUUGGAAUGAAGCUGAAAUUGGAAAGUAUAUGUGUAUAUAUGUAUACACAUAUAAUUGCCACCUAACCUGUUAUUCUGACAAUCCAGGAAGUGCGCUUCAAAUAUGAUAGAUUAUGUAUUUUACACGUAGUAUUUAGUGUAGGUUUUUGAUUCAUUCGUUGAACAAUGGUCAUCGGAGCAUUACAAAAUGGUUCUAACAUAUGUAAAUAAACUUGUACAAAUCUGACAGAAUGAAAUUUGUGAAUAUAUAAGGUAGAAUUGGGAAUAACAAUGAGUAGUCGUCGUGAAGAUAAUGUUUAAGUAUUUGUGUGAUUUAUGUUUAGUGAAGUCUAGACGAUUAAUGUCCUGUCCAUUAACGCGUAUCUCAAUAGUUCAGCGCUGGAAUCCAGUAUAAAACCAGUAAAACCGAAAGUAAAAGCCCUGAGAAACGAAGUAUGUUUAAAUAAAACUGAAAGUAGCUGGAAAAGUCGAGAAAUUGUGGGAAAGUCUCGCUGUCACGGUAACCUAGAAAUUCAAAAACCAUCAUUAACUCUACCUUCUUAACGUAAAGGUAUAAAAUAUCUAGAUCUAAAUUAGAAUUUAAAUUCUAAUCAUUCGAAACCAGAAAAAAGUUUCUAUAUACUCCUGAAAAAUUUGUCAAUCCACUAAUAAAAUUUUAAAAUCCUCUCAAUAAAAAUAAAUUAUAAUAUUAUAAAAAAUCAGGAGAAUUUUCCUUUGAUUCUUCAAAUCUCAGAAAAUCCGGGAUAAGAAAGUAAAAACUCCCUCAAUCUUAAACUUAAACUUCUAUAUAAAAGAGUAACCCAUAUCUUAUAGUUAUGAGAGAUGUUUCGUUGAUAUAUAGAAUCACGGAAAAUCCAAGAUAAAAAAACCAGAAGAAUUGCAAAUUGCUCUCCUCCCAGCUCGUGACACGCACGCAUUCGCAGCUCGUUAACGCGGAGAGCAGUCGCGGCUACCGUAUAAAGCUAGAACGGCAGCGGUACUCAGAUCAACGUUGUCGAUGAUGGAGGAUCUCGGUCGGAUAGAGUGAACGCCUUCGGCGCGGAGGUUGAAAAGUUCGAGUACUCGGUGUUAUGCGUGGAAGAAGCAUAAGAGAUUCAUCUGCAUAACAGUUAAUAAUUCCGGUACAUGGUGUGCCUUGUACCGGUUACUACACGGUGUUCUCGCGCGCGUAUGCGCAUGCGCAUGCGCAUAACCAACCAGGUUUCUCUCAGACAAUCGUGUGCCACCUGUUUAGUAGAAUGUCAGAAGCGAUCCUGUUACUUUAGGCGUUAGAAAUAUGUCCUGCUGUUAAAGUAAUCAUACAGUCACCAUUUUGUUUGAUGGGAUAUAGAGAUGAACGUUUUUUGAAUAGUAGAUGAUUGAAAUGAAAUUAAUGAACUAUGAAUGAAAGAACUAGACCACUAAAUUUGUGCUCGGACCAUUGACGUCUGAACCUCUGUACCGAUAGAAAAAGGGUAAUUCAUAACGACAAAAAAUUGAUUGAGGAAACCUUCAUCCUUUUCAAAUGAAGGAAAUGCUUGGAAUGAUUGAAGGAAGACGAAGUACAGCUUUGAUUGAAACCCUGGUGGCGAGGUAGCUGUUUUUGCUGAAUCCCUUGAAAUAGAAUAAGCAAUGCUACUUCACUAAUACAAACAAACGUUAUAAACAUUGGACCAGUCAUUCUAUUUCUCAAUUACCGAACAUGGUGAUUAAUUAAAACCAUGAUUUUAAAUCGAAUCUUCGUCUCGUUUAGAGUCAUACUAUGAACCAGAAAUGUUCGUCAAUUCCAUGAACGAUGAAAAAGUUGGAAGGGAACAAGAGCAAAAACUGUGAUGUGGCAGUUGCCACUAAGCAGCUCGAUGAAGACAUUUCUCCAUGGCAUUCUCGGAAGCGAAUGUCCUGGCUGAACCAAAAAGAGAUGUUGCAACGUUGUAUGCCUUCCCUCUGAAUUAAAUUAAGCCGUCAAUUUCGAUCCACUCUUUUAAUCGGUUCUUCGACGAACGAGAAUCGAGUCAGUAUCUCGGCAGCAACUUAUCAUGUAUCGAAUCGUUCGUAAUUUCUGAUCGAUAUUUCUGCUAAAAUAUCUCUGAUCUUUGAUACAAUAAAGAUCAUUAGUGGUAUAUACCUUUAUGGUAAGUUCUGUGAAGGAAAGAAUCUCGGUGAAUCGUAUUCGACCUCCACAGUAAAGUAAAAAGUAAGGAGGAAAUGAAAUUUGCACGCUAUGGUUGCGGUUAUGUUGAGCGAGUGAGGUUAUGGAGACGUUAAAAGCGCUAACUUCAAAUUCUCAAAUAUAAGAUCGACUGUAAUCACUAGUACUAGCGAAAUAUCUGUAAUUAUGGACAGACAGAUAUAUAAUAAUAUUUAAUGGCUAUAUGAGCUUUUAUGAAUCGUACGAGAUAAUUACGUACUAAAUAUAUUUUUUGUAAUUUGUAAAACAUUAUUUUUAGCGAGGAAAGGAUAUCAAAUAAAGAUUGAUGAGAAUA